rnacentral:rRNA from 1 species
UACGGAGGGUGCAAGCGUUAUCCGGAUUCACUGGGCUUAAAGGGUGCGUAGGUGGGUAUGUAAGUCAGUGGUGAAAUCUCCGUGCUUAACAUGGAAACUGCCAUUGAUACUAUGUUUCUUGAAUUUUCUGGAGGUAAGCGGAAUAUGUCAUGUAGCGGUGAAAUGCUUAGAUAUGACAUAGAACACCAAUUGCGAAGGCAGCUUGCUGCAGUGAUAUUGACACUGAUGCACGAAAGCGUGGGGAUCAAACAGG